rnacentral:rRNA from 1 species
GACGAACGCUGGCGGCGUGCCUAAUACAUGCAAGUAGAACGCUGAAGGAGGAGCUUGCUUCUCUGGAUGAGUUGCGAACGGGUGAGUAACGCGUAGGUAACCUACCUGGUAGCGGGGGAUAACUAUUGGAAACGAUAGCUAAUACCGCAUAAGAGUAGAUGUCGCAUGACAUUUGCUUAAAAGGUGCAAUUGCAUCACUACCAGAUGGACCUGCGUUGUAUUAGCUAGUUGGUGAGGUAACGGCUCACCAAGGCAACGAUACAUAGCCGACCUGAGAGGGUGAUCGGCCACACUGGGACUGAGACACGGCCCAGACUCCUACGGGAGGCAGCAGUAGGGAAUCUUCGGCAACGGACGGAAGUCUGACCGAGCAACGCCGCGUGAGUGAAGAAGGUUUUCGGAUCGUAAAGCUCUGUUGUAAGAGAAGAACGAGUGUGAGAGUGGAAAGUUCACACUGUGACGGUAUCUUACCAGAAAGGGACGGCUAACUACGUG